AUAAUGCAUUUUACCUCACAGAUGGUUGUGAGGACAUAAGGAAAUACUCUAUGCUAAUUGUAUAAAGCCUAAUUAGACACAUGACUUAUGGUUACAUGUUUGAAACUAUUUUUUCCUUUCUCUUUUUUCUAAAUUGAUCUUAGGCCCUACGUAUACUGUAAAAGAAUAGCAAUGGGUUUAGGGUGCCUCUAGUUCUGGACUCAAACACUAGCUCAACAAACCAUUAGUGGGUGACUUUCAGCAAGGUUUCUCCCAGCCUUCUUCACCUAUAUAGCUGGCUUCUUCAGAGAGUUGUUGUGAAGAUUGUACUGUACACAUUAUUAUUAUAUAAAAUUAUAUAUAUAUACACACACACACACACAUACACACAAGUAAGGAAUAAGAUCAGAUGAUUUACAGUGGGCAAACCCUGAAUAGCAAAAAUUGUAUAAAUAUAUAAUAAAAAUCAGAAAAAAUGCAAUUGAAAAUCAUACGAUAUGAUUGCACAUCUACUAGAUUGGCAGUACAAUAAAAGUCUGAUUGUAUUAAAGUGAGAAAGAACAUAUGUAAUUAUCUUAUACUGCUGGCAGGAAUGUAAUUUGGAACCAUUGUGUUAAAGAACAAUUUUUGCAUUGUCUCUGGUAAGGUUGAAAGUGUUCAAUUCAGUAAAGCUAUUUGUAGAGUAACAGUUUUUAGAUAUUUUUGUCAGUGACUCACCAAAAUGAAUAAAUUUUCCAUUGCAUCUCAGAACAAACAGAAGCACGUGCACACACAUAUAUACCUAAAGUAAAUGUUUCCUGAAAAAAUACUGAUAAUAUAUUAGGAGAGAAAAUAUAUCAUGAUGUGUGACAAUAUAACUCUGGAGCUAAAAUCCUAAGUUUAAAUUCCAGCUCCACCAUUUGUUAGCUUGACCUUGGCAAUUCACUCACUUUAUUGUGCCCCAGUUUCUUCAUCAGUAAAGUAGAAAUCAUAGCCUAACUGUGCUUCAAUUUUCUAACAGGUAAAAUGAGAUUUUUAUGGGGAUUAACUGAGUUAAUUCAUAUAAAGCACUCAAAAGAGGACCUGGCAUAAUGUAGCUACUAGAUGUAGGUUAGUUUUGAUUACAUUUGAUCCAAGCUGCACACCCCACAAAGCGAAGUCUCAGCCUGAUGCGACAGUUCCAGCCUUAUGAGCUGUGGAGGGGCAGCCAAGAAGCUCUUCUGUCCUCUGUAUCCACACCAUUCCUCCUUUCUCUCUGAACCCCUUCUCUGACUUCUGACUGAAAAACCAGCCUCUAUCUCAGAGCAAAGCCUGUCCAAGGAAGGGACAUGACCUUAGUCCUUGGAAAGACCCACAGAGCACUCCUAAGCACAUUCCCACCCUGCUGAGUUGUUUAUCUACAAAUAACAGGAGAGAUCUGCUGUGCCAGGUGUCCCUGACUCAGUCAGGCUAGGUGGGGAUCCAUAGCAGCCCCCUAGCAGCCACCAAUCAGCAUGAGACAGGGAAAUACCUGGGAUGCCAGUGGUUUAUGGUGGUUGAUAACAAGUUGGGAAACCAUGUAGUUCAGCACGUACACCCCUCUUGGCUCAAACCAAUCAGUUCAAACGAAUACCCCUUUUGUACUGACCAAUCACCCCUACCCAACUUGUUCCCGCCAGUGAAUGUGCUAUUCUUGUUUUAGAGUUGUUAUUUGAUUUUCCCGUGGUGUGUGAUGAUUUGCUAAGGGAUGCUAUGAUGUAUGUGAAGUCCCUGCCCUCUCCAAAGAAUGUAUAAAACUGCUGCAAACCCUGGGCUCGGGGCCUCUCAGCGUCACCAGUUGCUGUGUGUGCGCGCGGAGGACCGAGCUAGCUCGCAAUAAACACCUCUUUGCUGCUUACAUCGAUCUCGGGUCUCUGGUGGUCUUUGUGUUACCGCUGUUGACCGGUGACGAGUCCUUGCUUCCCCAAUGUUGAAGAAUAACACCAAAGAAGCACGCCGAGGCAAGGUCAGAGUAGAAAUUAGAAGUUUAUUAAAGGACAGCAGAAAAGACUUCUCCUGGAGGAAGAAGGGGACCCAAGAGGUGGAAUCCGUGGAGUUUUCGGCGGACACAACAUCUUUGUUUGUAUGUGGUGCUGAGGGUCGAACCGGGGCGCACGCAUGCCAGGCGAGCGAGCUACCACUUGAGCCACAUCCCCAGCCCCAAUUCCUGGUUCUAAUGAGAUCGGGGAUGAUACCGGUGUUGAAAAUCACAUCUGGAUCCCAUUUCCUGGUGUGGAAGAUUGAACACCUGAGAAAUGCUGAGCCAAGAGUAAAAAAGUUUUAUUUAAAGGAUAGAACAUCCUCUGCAGAGGAGGAGGUCCAAGUUGGUGCCUAAGGGAAUGGAGGUAUCCUGGCUCUUUUAUAGAUUUUAGAUUUCCUUUAUUCUCAUCCUCCUCUGCAUCCUGCCAUAGGACCUCAAAGGUGGAGUGAUCCAAGGUUCAAAGGAAGCCACCAAGGGGUACAGGCAGGAAGGGACCACCCAGGGACUACUCAUUAACAACCCCUUGCUGGGAGGAACAAUUCCCUGGAGACAGGUGUUCAGGAUGCAGGCCCUGAUCCAGACAGCCGGGUUCAGAUACUCACUUGACCAUUUAACUAGCUUGGCGAUUCUCUGUGCCUCAGCCUCUUCAUCUAAUAUCAAGGAUAAUAAUAGCACCAAGUGAGAAAAUUGAAAAUCAGAAAAGGUAUCUGUCCCAAGGUUACACAGCUCAUGAAUGGUGGACUACACUGAAAUUUGGACCCAUGGAAAGCUGACCUCAGAGUCCCUCUCCUUGGACAGUGGAGGUUGCUAUAGAAGCUGACAAUGAGAAUUUAGUCCCUUAAAAAGUCACAGUUCCCCCCAUAAGAUGGUACCAGGAAGAUUUCUAAAUGUGGGGCUUAAGCAUAGGCUUUAUAGAAUCCAAUAUCAUUCCUAUAUUAUUUAUUU